AUUGAACGCUGGCGGCAUGCCUAACACAUGCAAGUCGAACGGCAGCACAGUGUGUAGCAACACACAUGGGUGGCGAGUGGCGGACGGGUGCGUAAUGUGUAGGGAUCUGCCCUGAAGUGGGGGACAACCCGGGGAAACUCGGGCUAAUACCGCAUAAUACUCUACGGAGGAAAUCUGGCUGCGCAAGCAGCUGGUGCUUUAGGAUGAACCUACAUCCGAUUAGCUAGUUGGUGAGGUAAUGGCUCACCAAGG
rnacentral:rRNA from 1 species